AGGGGUUUAGCUCAGCAGCAUAAGCGCCUGCCUUGUAAGCAGGCAGUCCUGAGUUCGAUCCCCGGUACCGAUA
rfam:Cavia porcellus supercont2_10 genomic scaffold, whole genome shotgun sequence.